rnacentral:rRNA from 1 species
UGGCUCAGUGAGGCGUCCGGACUGGCCCAGGGAGGUGGGCAACUACCACCCAGGGCCGGAAAGCUCUCCAAACUCGGUCAUUUAGAGGAAGUAAAAGUCGUAACAAGGUCUCCGUUGGUGAACCAGCGGAGGGAUCAUUACCGAGUUAUCCAACUCCCAACCCCUGUGAAUCAUACCUUUAAUUGUUGCUUCGGCGGGACUUCGCGCCCGCCGGGGACCCGAACCUUCUGAAUUUUUUAAUAAGUAUCUUCUGAGUGGUUAAAAAAAUGAAUCAAAACUUUCAACAACGGAUCUCUUGGUUCUGGCAUCGAUGAAGAACGCAGCGAAAUGCGAUAAGUAAUGUGAAUUGCAGAAUUCAGUGAAUCAUCGAAUCUUUGAACGCACAUUGCGCCCGUCAGUAUUCUGGCGGGCAUGCCUGUUCGAGCGUCAUUACGCCCCUCAAGUCCCCUGUGGACUUGGUGUUGGGGAUCGGCGAGGCUGGUUUUCCAGCACAGCCGUCCCUUAAAUUAAUUGGCGGUCUCGCCGUGGCCCUCCUCUGCGCAGUAGUAAAACACUCGCAACAGGAGCCCGGCGCGGUCCACUGCCGUAAAACCCCCCAACUUUUUAUAGUUGACCUCGAAUCAGGUAGGACUACCCGCUGAACUUAAGCAUAUCAAUAAGCGGAGGAAAAGAAACCAACAGGG